rnacentral:rRNA from 1 species
GACGUAGGUGGCGAACGUUAUCCGGAAUUAUUGGGCGUAAAGGGUGCGUAGGUGGCUUGAAAAGUUAUCAGUGGCAAAUCGAGGCUUAACCUCGCGGAAACUGGUAAUACUGUUUGGCUCGAGUGCAGGAGAGGUUAACGGAACUCUAUGUGGAGCGGUAAAAUGCACAGAUAUAUAGAAGAACACCAAUAACGGCGAAGGCAGUUAACUAUUCUGUUACUGACACUGAGGCACGAAAGCGUGGGGGGCAAAACGG